rnacentral:rRNA from 1 species
CUUUACCAUAGCCUGGAAUUGUGUUCGGGCUUCGCUUACGCAGGAUAGGUGGGAGGCUGUGAAGUUCUGCUUGUGGGCAGAAUCGAGCCAACGGUGAGAUACCACUUUAGCGAGGCUAGAAUUCUAACCCUUACCCGUCAUCCGGGAAGGAGACAGUUUCAGGGGGGUAGUUUGACUGGGGCGGUCGCCUCCUAAAAGGUAACGGAGGCGUGCAAAGGUUCCCUCAGGCUGGACGGAAAUCAGCCGAAGCGUGUAAAGGCAGAAGGGAGCUUGACUGCAAGACCUACAAGUCGAGCAGGGUGGAAACACGGUCUUAGUGAUCCGACGGUGCCGCAUGGAAGGGCCGUCGCUCAACGGAUAAAAGUUA